rnacentral:misc_RNA from 1 species
UUUUUUUUUUUUUUUUAAUCUGAGACCAUGUUUCAUGAAAGACAUAACUUGCUUCGGUGCUAUCAGAAUCACGAUCAUAUGAUGCUGCUGACACAGAGUUCCUUCCAAUAAAAUACAAUUGCUGCACCACUACGUGCAGGAGGUUGAAACAAUAACAAUCCAUUCAUUUCACUAUUGCAAAAAUAAAAUAUAAGUGAAUGUAUGGUCACGAAUAAAGCACUUUGCAGUGGAUCUGCAGCUUUCCAUCAUCAAUUUCCAUUAUAUCUGAAACCAAUCGACCAGCAACAUAUAUUUGGUGGCCUUUCAACAUGCCCAGAAGCAACUUGUGCCUGCUCAUCCCAGAACGUCUAACUGAUCCUGUGAACCAUCAAUUUCCAUUUUCCAGACUUUAGUACCAUAUUUUGUAUUCUACCAAGUAAUUAGAAUGUCAUGAAGCAAUCAUUUUAUGUCAUAAAAAAGCAGGAAAAAAUAUAUGUAAUGCACACAUAUGAGAGAGUGAGAAAGCACAUACAGAAUCGUAUGGUAUAAAGUAAAUUCCAGUACAUACAAGUGGUAUUCAAUGAGAAGGAGAACGGCUCAUAUAUGUAAGCUACAACCAUCCAAUCCAAACUGGCUAUUGAGUGGUCAUGCCACUAAAGAGAGAUUUCCUUUAUUACACCAAACCAUUACUUCAGUGUCUCAAUUUCCCCUCCAUUCUUCUUUGCUAGCUUUCCAAGUUUCAUACUUAGGAAGCUUAAACAAAAGCUCUUCUAAAAAUUAACUUAUUUCAAAACCCCAAAACUCUUCACCCCUUCCCUGGUCAUCAAUUAUGGUAUGACAAAUGCUAAAUACAAGCUGUACCUAAUACCAAAACGCAAAAAUAAUUCUCUGAUAACCAAGCAUGCUAAAUUUGAAAACACAACGCUAGAAAUACAUAGUCACUAGAUCGUCUCCUUGGCGAUUUUCAUGACGGCGAGUAGUGUCUACGCAAGGACCUUGCGACAGGAUAGGUGCUUGAUUGCGACAGGGGUCCCAACAGUACUGAUGAGAUGCUAUGUGUUACAGAGCUCCUUAUUCCAUGGAAUCUCUGCCGGUUUAGCAUACUCCACCACCUGAUUGAAGCGGUUGUCUCUGUCAUGAACCGAGCAUUUCAAGAAGCGAUUGAAGCGAAAUCGUACAACAUCUGCCGGAGGCUAAGAGGACAAGUGAGUUGAGGACAAAGCAGGGCUCUGGGCAUCGGCGAUAGGGUUCCCUGCAGCACAGAGGAAGACGUUGCUGCAACCGGAGGACGAUAAAAAUUGAUGGGCCUCAGCCCAAAUGGUUGCCGGUUUUGCGAUUGGCCCAACUCCAUCGUUUUCUCUAGUGGCUUGAAUGGUUUUGGGUUUUGCGUCUUCUUCUUUUCCUAUAUGUCUGAUUUCUGAGGAUGAAAGGGUUUGGAAUAAAUAUUGAUGGGCCUCAGCCCAAAAAUGGGGGACUGAAUGAUGGGCCCAAUCGAUGUUUCUGUGAUACGCAGUCACCGAGUUACGCAUGCUGAAGGAGUUAAGAACUAGGAAGUGGGAAGCUGCUCGCCUGACUUCAUUCGUUUCUCGGUUUUCUGGUAUCAGAAUCGGGGAUUUCUAUCUUCUUCAAAGUGAGCUCAGCGUCCUCGAAAAUGCUAGCUCGUCUCGCCGCCGUGCGUCUCCGCGAGAUCCGUCAAGUUUUCCGUCAAGCCCCUCAGACAUCACGAUCCUUCUCCACUGCCUUAAACUACCACAUUGACACUCCGGAUAAUAAUCCGAAUCUUCCAUGGGAAUUCACUGAUGUAAACAAGGAGAAGGUUAAAGAAAUACUAUCUCACUAUCCAUCCAACUACAAGCAAUCAGCAGUCAUUCCUCUGCUAGAUCUUGCACAGCAGCAGCAUCGGGGUUGGCUUCCUGUGUCAGCAAUGGAUGCGGUAGCUAAGAUUAUUGAAGUUGCUCCUAUACGUGUUUAUGAAGUUGCAACAUUUUAUUCAAUGUUCAACCGGUCACCGGUGGGCAAGUACCACCUACUUGUUUGUGGCACAACACCUUGUAUGAUACGUGGGUCACGAGAAAUUGAAGAUGCAUUACUGAAGCACUUAGGAGUGAAGCGCAAUGAAGUAACAAAGGAUGGUCUUUUCUCUGUUGGGGAAAUGGAAUGUAUGGGAUGUUGUGUAAAUGCUCCCAUGAUUACUGUUGCUGAUUACUCCAAUGGUUCUGAAGGAUAUACUUACAAUUAUUAUGAAGAUGUCACUCCAAAACGAGUUGUUGAGAUAGUUGAGAUGCUAAGAAGGGGAGAGAAGCUACCGGUAAGUCAACUAGGCAAGUCGCUGGAGUAAGUUCUUUGAUCAAGGAUGUUAUCACUAUGAAGUUAAACUCUUAUACGUAUGUAUGUUUCAGCCUGGCACACAAAAUCCAAAGCGGAUUAAGUGUGGCCCAGAAGGAGGCAACACUACCCUGCACGGCGAGCCAAAACCUCCUCCAUGCCGGGAUCUUGAUGCCUGCUAAAGUUAUGGUAAAUGUUGUCUCCAAUAAUGCAAAGCUUGGAUGUUUUCAAGCUUCCCUGUAUCGUCCUUGUUUUUCUUUAUCUCAACCCUUUUUUGUAUUUGCUUGCCAGCUUGGUUUCUGGCAGAUAUUCAAAUUCCGUGCUUACUUCAUAUUCUAGUUAUGAAAAGGCUUACCAAUUCCUUGAUUCCCUUGAAUUUAAACGCUGAAUGCAUUGCUCUAUUGAAGAGCACAUUACACUAGGGUAUGCCAUGAUUCAGAAGCAUCACAAAGAUAAUCAAUUAUCUUCAUUCAAUGCAGAAAUAAUCAAGAAUGAUUGCAUUUUUUCAUGAGAUGCUGCCACUCUGAGGCUCGUUCUCCUGUUCUUCACUGUAACAUAUUUUUUCAAUACUAGGUAUCUUUCACACUUCAUAUUUCGUUUGCGUGU